rnacentral:rRNA from 1 species
UGGCGGACGGGGGAGUAAUGUCUGGGAAACUGCCCGAUGGAGGGGGAUAACUACUGGAAACGGUAGCUAAUACCGCAUAACGUCGCAAGACCAAGAGGGGGACCUUCGGGCCUCUUGCCAUCGGAUGUGCCCAGAUGGGAUUAGCUAGUAGGUGGGGUAAAGGCUCACCUAGGCGACGAUCCCUAGCUGGUCUGAGAGGAUGACCAGCCACACUGGAACUGAGACACGGUCCAG